UGUAAACAAAACAAAUGCUGCCUGUUUAGAUAAUCUAUUAUUAUGGCUUCCUAAUCUUGGGAUUUAGUUUUUUAUUUUAUAAACAGGGUUAAAGCAGAGGCAUUAAUUCCAUCUUGUUUGGUGAAAGAUGGAUGGUUAUUUUGUCAAACUGGUUUUCAUGCAAUGAAAGCUGUUUAUAAUUGAUGAUUUCUACAACAAGCUCAUACUUAAAAAAGUUAAAGUAACUGGACGUCAUUAAAUUUUACAAUGCUCAUUGCUAUUUUAGUUGUUUUAUAUGAUUAAAAAAACUAUUACAGUUUUAUAUUAACGGUGAACUACUAUAUUAAAUAAACUAUUUAAUUUUUAUUUUGGAAUAAGUAGUAUUUUGAAUCUGUUUAUAGUAUUAUUAUUGCCUAGAUAUAUAUUGCAAUCUUUUUACACUUAUUAUACAUAUUUUUGUUUAUAUUUAUUUUACUAAAUAAUUACAAAUAGAUAAAGAAGGAUUUAAUUUCCCAACUACAGAGUACUCUAAAGAAUAUUCUGUAUCACAAUGAUAUCCUGGCCUAUCAAUACGAUAUCCUGUAAAUCCACUCACACACAUAAAUCUUU